rnacentral:rRNA from 1 species
CGACCAAGGAGUCUAGCAUGUGCGCAAGUCACUGGGUCCUGCUAAACCCACAGGCGUAAUGAAAUGUGAAAGCCGACCUCUGGUCGGCUGCGUUGCGAUCCCCGGCACACUGCUGCCGGGGCACAGCAAUGGCCCGCCCUAAGCGCUUCCUGUCGUUGGGGCGGAGCAAGAGCGCACACGCUGGCACCCGAAAGAUGGUGAACUAUGCCCGGGCAGGACGAGGCCAGAGGAAACUCUGGUGGAGGUCCGAAGCGAUUCUGACGUGCAAAUCGAUCGUCCGACCUGGGUAUAGGGGCGAAAGACUAAUCGAAUCAUCUAGUAGCUGGUUCCCUCCGAAGUUUCCCUCAGGAUAGCUGGCGCUCGUUGAGAAACCAGUUUCACCUGGUAAAGCGAAUGAUUAGAGGCAUUGGGGUCGAAACGACCUCAACCUAUUCUCAAACUUUCAAUGGGUGAGCGGAGACUUUCAUAAGCUUCGAAGCCUCCCAAAAACAAUGAGAGUGCCCAGUGGGCCACUUUUGGUAAGCAGAACUGGCGCUGUGGGAUGAACCAAACGCCGGGGUAAGGCGCCCGAUGCCGAACGCUCAUAAGAACCCAUGAAGGGUGUUGGUUGCUUAAGACAGCAGGACAGUGGCCAUGGAAGUUGGA